rnacentral:lncRNA from 1 species
GUGAAACCAGGCAUGCCAGCUGGUGCUGCCCUGACCUUCCAGGACGAGAUGUGAUGACCCUGGGCUCUUGAAGACUAACAGGAGUGUAAGCUGGAAUAUGGCUCUGAUGACCUGUGUUCUACUAACAACUGAAAAGGAAUGAGAGACAAGAUGGAGAAGCACUUGAAGUGGCAAAAUUAAGUUAAAUGAUAGGAUGGUGGCCUACAGAGGAGACGCCAACAGCCACCCAGUGGAAUGGCUGCUUGUUACUGAGGCAUCUGAAACACAGGACUCUAACUGGAAAGAACUCUGACUUACCGGGAGAAUGA